AGACCUCUAUGCAUGUGGAAUAUUGGAUAUACUGUCAGACUCAGCUGAUACAUUGGAACUGGACAAGUUUCCCCAGCUGGAUGACAGAGGUCAAAUGUCUCCCUUUGGGAUGAUCCACUGGCAAAUCUCAGUCAACCAAUAAUCGAUGCUUUUGAGCGAACCCCAACUUGCUCGAAUAUCAAGUAUGGGGAACACAGGAGCCAGCUCUCAUCAUGCCCUAGGAACAGACUGAUGACUGGGUUCUCAGAUGAAGAAGAUGCCUCUCUCCCAAAUUGGGCCUGCUCCAAGGAGAUCUUGAAGAGGAGUCCAUAAAAGCGACUAAGGAUUAUAGGAUUGGCUCCCUGAUUCUUGCUCACGUUCAUACUGGAAGACUUUUGUUCUUGUUUAAUUGUAUUUCCUGUCUAUUUCCUUGUAUUUGUUGAACUGAAUUGUUGCAUUGAGUUUCUUCUGUCCUCUCCAAUUCCUUACAAUUCACCAGAAGAGAAAACUACUAAACAAAAAAAAAAAAUGCUUUUCUUCAAGUCACAACAAAAUUCAGGGAAAAAUUUAAGAGAAAAACACAGUACAAGUGCCUGACUCAGUUCAGUGCUUUGUUUACUGAAUGGUUUAAAGCUGACUAAAAUGAGUCUCUGGCAGGGAUACUGAAUUCUAAGGAACUGUAUUCUAGUUUGAAAAUAUGUUUAACUGGAAACAUGAUACAUUAUUAAUAAAGCCAAGAAGUAGAUGUUUUCCUAUUUCAUAGACUUACUGCCAGAAGGCACCUUGGAAGUCAUCUAGUCUAACCCUUUCAUUUGGCAAAUGA